ACCUGGCUGGCUUAGUCAGUAGAGCUUGUGACUCUCAAUCUCAAGGUCAUGAGUUCAAACCCUAUGUUGGCGUA
rnacentral:tRNA from 1 species